rnacentral:lncRNA from 1 species
AUGAAUCCUCUAAGCCACGUUUUGGCUUUUCAGGUCUCCAUCAGUUUGGGUUCUUCUUUUUCUCCGGGCCAUAUGCUUUAAAGAAAUAGAAAAUCUAAAGGGAUAUUUUGAUGUAACUCUCCCAGAUGUAGCAGAAAGAGGGCCUUUCUUCUCAGAUAUUUUGAAGAACUGGGAAGGAGAUAUCAAUCAAUCAAUCAAUCAGUCAGUCAGUCAAUAAUUCAGAGUCAGAUCAUCUGCUGCAAAUUCCUGAGACACAUCUAGUCCCUGUAAGAGCUUGGGCACCAUCCAGGGAGUCCUGCUUUUUAAGUUCAUGAGCAGCACUGACAAACUGACUGCCUUCAUGAAGCAGAAUCAAAGGUCAGUAACUAACCCCCAGGUCUGGUGCAAAUUGAUU